rnacentral:misc_RNA from 1 species
UACUAAAACAAUAUUCUUAUUGUUUUAGAAUCAAGAAUUAGAAAGCAAAGAAAUUGUUCUCGAGAUUCUGCUUCAUCAGUUGCAGUUCUGAAUUUUCAAGAAAUUUCUCUUGUUUCUCAUUAUUUUAGGGCGAAAAAGAGCUAGCAAAAAGCAGAAGCCAAGAUCAGAAUCCAUGGAUGACGAGAAACGCAUUGCUCUGGCAGUGUCAUGGAAGUUGUCCAAUCUGAUGCUUCACGAGUCAGUUUCUUUGCUGGGAUUAGAAGAUCAGCUCGAAUGCAUCGAAAGCAAACUAAGAGACACUGUUCAAUCGUACCCUAUGGUUCAUUGGACAAAGAGUUUAAGGGAGAUUGCUUAUGACAUUGAAGAAGUCAUUGAUUUCCUAGUGAUAAAAGCGUCACAGAAAAUGGGAGCAG